UCCCUGGUGGUCCAGUGGCUAAGACUCCUCACUCCCAAUGCAGGGGGCCUGGGUUCGAUUCCUGAUCAGGGAA
rnacentral:tRNA from 1 species